rnacentral:rRNA from 1 species
AAUAUUCGACAAGGGGGGCAACCGCGAUCCAUCCAUGCCGCGUGCGUGAAGAAGGCUUUAGGGUUGUAAAGCGCUUUCACUGGUGAAGACCAUGUCGGUAGCCAGAGAAGAAGCCCCGGCUAACUCCGUUCCAGCAGCCGCGGUAAUACGGAGGGGGCAAGCGUUGUUUGGAAUUACUGGGCGUAAAGGGCGGGUAGGAGGGAUGUCAAGUUAGGGGUGAAAGGAGUGGGCUCAACCCAGGAAUUGCCUCUAAAACUGGCAAUCUAGAGUCCGGGAGAGGAUGGCGGAAUUCCCAGUGUAGAGGUGAAAUUCGUAGAUAUUGGGAAGAACACCAGUGGCGAAGGCGGCCAUCUGGUCCGGCACUGACGCUGAGGCGCGAAAGCGUGGGGAGCAAACAGGAUUAGAUACCCUGGUAGUCCACGCCGUA